rnacentral:lncRNA from 1 species
AAUUUGUAGAUCUAAAUUUAUUUGGCAAUACUUUUAGGAAUAUUUGGUCCUCAAUGCUCUUCAACAUCGUACGUUUUUGGCCUUUUAAACAUAUUUUGAUUCGAGCGUCAAUGAUGUGUCUUUUGUAGAAUAAACGCACGUCUGGCUUAAAUAUAAAAUUGUAAUCCUAGUAUCUAUGAUGAGUUUAUUAGCAGACAUAGAAUAUAAAACUAACAAUUGAUCAUUAUUAGCUGAACAAUAUCCCUGUUUGCUCAGCAAUACUUGCCUUAAAGG